GUGUUGGGCAUGACACCUGAGAACUGAAGUGUUUACUCAUAUGUCUGCAGUGGUUACAAGUUCCAAAUCACGAAAGCAUCACCAAUUUCUUUCAAAUCCUCCGGUGUUAGCUCCACACCUAAUGACCGAAUGUUGCUGUCAAGGUUCCCAACUUUGGUUGUCCCUUUGCCAGAAUGGAAAACGAAACAAAGAGUUGGAACUGUCCAACAGAGCAAACUAAACGCUUCAUUCAUGGAAAUGGAUUAGGAAGAGGCGGAUACAUAACGUACCUGGGAUGGGAACUAUAUCAAUACCCUGAUGGAGCAGCCACGCUAAAGCCAACUGCACUGUAGCACAAC